GUAGGUGGCAAGCGUUGUCCGGAAUUAUUGGGCGUAAAGCGCGCGCAGGUGGGUCUUUAAGUCUGAUGUGAAAGCCCCCGGGCUCAACCGGGGAGGGUCAUUGGAAACUGGGGAACUUGAGUGCAGGAGAGGAAAGUGGAAUUCCACGUGUAGCGGUGAAAUGCGUAGAUAUGUGGAGGAACACCAGUGGCGGAGGCGACUUUCUGGCCUGUAACUGACACUGAGGCGCGAAAGCGUGGGGAGCAAACAGGGUUAGAUACCCUGGUAGUCCACGCCGUAAACGAUGAGUGCUAAGUGUUGGGGGGGUUUCCGCCCCUCAGUGCUGCAGCUAACGCAUUAAGCACUCCGCCUGGGGAGUACGGUCGCAAAGACUG
rnacentral:rRNA from 1 species